rnacentral:tRNA from 1 species
AUUUUUGUAGCUUACAUAAAGUAUCAUAUUGAAGCUAUGAAGACGGGACCCCCCUAAAAUA